ACUCCUACGGGAGGCAGUAGUGGGGAAUUUUGGACAAUGGGCGAAAGCCUGAUCCAGCCAUGCCGCGUGCAGGAUGAAGGCCUUCGGGUUGUAAACUGCUUUUGUACGGAACGAAACGGCCUUUUCUAAUAAAGAGGGCUAAUGACGGUACCGUAAGAAUAAGCACCGGCUAACUACGUGCCAGCAGCCGCGGUAAUACGUAGGGUGCAAGCGUUAAUCGGAAUUACUGGGCGUAAAGCGUGCGCAGGCGGUUAUGUAAGACAGUUGUGAAAUCCCCGGGCUCAACCUGGGAACUGCAUCUGUGACUGCAUAGCUAGAGUACGUUAGAGGGGGAUGGAAUUCCGCGUGUAGCAGUGAAAUGCGUAGUUAUGCGGAGGAACACCGAUGGCGAAGGCAAUCCCCUGGACCUGUACUGACGCUCAUGCACGAAAGCGUGGGGAGCAAACGGGAUUAGAAACCCCAGUAGUCCCAUGA
rnacentral:rRNA from 1 species